AACAAACGCUGGCGGCGUGCCUAAUACAUGCAAGUCGAACGGGGAAAGCUUUCGGGUGAGUACUAGUGGCGCACGGGUGAGGAACGCGUGGGUAAUUUUCCUUGAAGUGGGGGAUAACUAGUCGAAAGAUUAGCUAAUACCGCAUACGACCACGAAAUCUGAGGAUUUUGAGGUAAAAGGUUUUUCGCUUCAAGAUAAGCCCGCGUAAGAUUAGCUAGUUGGUGAGGUAAUGGCUCACCAAGGCGACGAUCCUUAGCUGGUCUGAGAGGAUGAUCAGCCACACUGGAACUGAGACACGGUCCAGACUCCUACGGGAGGCAGCAGUAGGGAAUAUUGCACAAUGGAGGAAACUCUGAUGCAGCGACGCCGCGUGAGUGAUGAAGGACUUCGGUUCGUAAAGCUCUGUCGCAUGGGAAUAAUAAAUGAAGGUACCACGCAAGAAAGGAUCGGCUAACUUCGUGCCAGCAGCCGCAGUAA
rnacentral:rRNA from 1 species